GCAGCAGCCGCGGGAAUACGUAGGUGGCAAGCGUUGUCCGGAAUUAUUGGGCGUAAAGGGCUCGCAGGCGGUUUCUUAAGUCUGAUGUGAAAGCCCCCGGCUCAACCGGGGAGGGUCAUUGGAAACUGGGAAACUUGAGUGCAGAAGAGGAGAGUGGAAUUCCACGUGUAGCGGUGAAAUGCGUAGAGAUGUGGAGGAACACCAGUGGCGAAGGCGACUCUCUGGUCUGUAACUGACGCUGAGAGACGAAAGCGUGGGGAGCGAACAGGAUUAGAUACCCCAGUAGUCCCUGUCUCUUAUAC
rnacentral:rRNA from 1 species